rnacentral:rRNA from 1 species
AUUGAACGCUGGCGGCAGGCUUAACACAUGCAAGUCGAGCGAGCGGCGGACGGGUGAGUAAUGUCUGGGACACUGCCUGAUGGAGGGGGAUAACUACUGGAAACGGUAGCUAAUACCGCAUACCAUCAGAUGUGCCCAGAUGGGAGUAGCGAGUAGGUGGGGUAAUGGCUCACAGAGGCGACGAUCACUAGCUGGUCUGAGAGGAUGACCAGCAACACGGGAACUGAGACACGGUCCAGACUCCUACGGGAGGCAGCAGUGGGGAAUAUUGCACAAGGGGCGCAAGCCUGAUGCAGCCAUGCCGCGUGUGUGAAGAAGGCCUUCGGGUUGUAAAGCACUUUCAUCGAGGAGGCGUUACUCGCAGAAGAAGCACCGGCUAACUCCGUGCCAGCAGCCGCGGUAAUAC